ACCUCGGUGGUGUAGUGGUAGCACGCGUUCCGGUAUGAAUGAAAAUCGGGUUCGACUCCCGUCUGAGGUU